rnacentral:tmRNA from 1 species
GGGGAUGUUCCGGUUUCGACGUGGUUACUGAGUUUUUAGUAGCAAGUCGUUUCCCGAAACGUUAAAUCGGACUUUAAAUAUAAAUGCAAACAACAAUAGCGAAGAACUCGCUUUAGCUGCCUAAUUAACACGCAGCAGUAAAUUCCAAAAGCUAUCGCACUUUUGGUCUUUACUUCAUAUUAAUGCGAUAAACUAUUUACGCAAAGCUUUGAGCGUGAAGAAGUAUUAUGAAGCUACUAUUUUGAAUUCAUUUGUUAGUAGAUGAACAAAAUAGGAAUUUAAAAUACUAACUAAGCUUGUAGAGACUUCUUAUGAUGUCUCCACGGACAUGGGUUCGACUCCCAUCAUCUCCACCA